UUUUUCUUAGUAUAUAAAGUAUAUUUAACUUCCAAUUAAAAGGUUUAAACUUAAGAAAAAA
rnacentral:tRNA from 1 species